CGGUUGAUCCUGCCGGACCUGACUGCUAUCGGAUUGAUACUAAGCCAUGCGAGUCAUUGUAGUAAUACAAGGCAGACGGCUCAGUAACGCGUAGUCAACCUAGCCUAUGGACGGGAAUAACCUCGGGAAACUGAGUAUAAUGCCCGAUAGAACAUUAUGCCUGGAAUGGUUUAUGUUCCAAAUGAUUUAUCGCCGUAGGAUGGGACUGCGGCCUAUCAGUUUGUUGGUGAGGUAAUGGCCCACCAAGACUAUUACAGGUACGGGCUCUGAGAGGAGUAGCCCGGAGAUGGGUACUGAGACACGGACCCAGGCCCUAUGGGGCGCAGCAGGCGAGAAAACUUUGCAAUGUGCGAAAGCACGACAAGGUUAAUCCGAGUGGUUUCUGCUAAAGGAACCUUUUGUCGGUCCUAGAAACACCGAUGAAUAAGGGGUGGGCAAGUUCUGGUGUCAGCCGCCGCGGUAAAACCAGCACCUCAAGUGGUCAGGAUGAUUAUUGGGCCUAAAGCAUCCGUAGCCGGCUCUGUAAGUUUUCGGUUAAAUCUGUACGCUCAACGUACAGGCUGCCGGGAAUACUGCAGAGCUAGGGAGUGGGAGAGGUAGACGGUACUCGGUAGGAAGGGGUAAAAUCCUUUGAUCUAUUGAUGACCACCUGUGGCGAAGGCGGUCUACCAGAACACGUCCGACGGUGAGGGAUGAAAGCUGGGGGAGCAAACCGGAUUAGAUACCCGGGUAGUCCCAGCUGUAAACUAUGCAAACUCAGUGAUGCAUUGGCUUGNNGNCCAAUGCAGUGCUGCAGGGAAGCCGUUAAGUUU
rnacentral:rRNA from 1 species